ensembl:ncRNA lncRNA:CR45336 long non-coding RNA:CR45336
AAUGGCUUGUGUCAAACAAAAGCCGCUCGGAAUAAACAAACAAACAAACAAACCAGCCAGCCAACCAGACAGAGGGAACACGUCUUGUUGCUGUUGUGCGUGACAUUGUGUGGAUGUAGGCAAUUGGCCACCCACCAGAAGGCCACCCUAGAACCACCCCAAAGCCACCCAGGAGCCGCUCAGGAACCACCCGCCUAGCUGUCAACUUUGGCGCCACCAGACCACAUACUCCAGCCCAAACUGAAUUGUCAACUUACAAGGCUUGCUGGCUGAAGUGUCGCGUAAUUUAUUUUCCACCUCUCGGCGCCGACUGACAAAUGAGCUGAUAAUUUUCCCCGUAUCCUGCCAUUGUCAAGGACAUCCAAGGGGGUGGUCGGAAAAUAUGGGGGUAGACUGCUAAUUCAUGGCCUCCACAUUGCCUAGUCAUCGGCGGAAGGCUUUGUCUAGCCGUUGACAGGAGAAAUUAAUUUGUGUUUACUUGCCGGUUUGACAUUCGUGAGUUAUUGACGGCAAAUACCAAAUAUGGAGUAUGCAAAUGGAAAUGGAUGUACAAUACUUACUGGAAUCAGUUCGUGGUUAAAUAUGGCUUAACUAGUUCAAAUAUAUUGGAGAACACUUGCACAAAUCAGAAUGGCAUUAGUG